CUCCAUGAGGCCAGCCGCAGUUAGGCGGUGUAACCUAUCUCGCUUGGAAAUUAUGAAGGGAACCAGCUUCAGUCGAUUGUAGAUGGAGAAAAGUUAAAUUGAGGGAUUUCUUUUUUUAAUUGGUGACGCGUUUGUCAUUUUGAGCACCUGCAUUACUGCCUGUUCUCCAGGAUAGUUGCACUAUAACUUGUGCUGUACAACAAUCGGAAUUUUCCGAUGUGUAGCCUUGUAGUUGAAUCGCCUUGUCACAUGUUUCAGAACAUCUCGUCGGCACUGACUCUCUUCUGCUCGCGUUUUUUUCUCUCUUUCUGCCGUGAUGAUGGAUUAUCAAUAGCAUGAUGAAGACACAUCAUUGAGAUCUGCAGCACUUGUGAAAGAAAAACCUUUAAAACAGGUGGCAGAUCCAGCAACAGUUCAAGCUGUUCAGAUUAUCUUCUGCCACAAUAACAGGCUGCCAUCUGAGAAACGCUGAGAUACAGUGCGCAGGCUCUCCCAGCGCUGUUCUCCAGCAUCAAACCCCCGAGCAACGCACAGCGGACACUCUGGCCAACACAUUCCAGGUUUGUCGACGUGCAAACCCCGAAGGCAAUUCUGGAAAUCAAGCAGAACAUUUAGAGACGACAGAAAAACACUGUUGGAACAUUAAUCAGUGGGGGGAACUGAGUCUUUGUGUCUCUCGUUUUCCGUUCGCUCAACUCUCCUCAGAAGGUCAGAGGAGCAUGUAACCGAAACAAGCGGAGCCCUCGGUGAUUUCAGCAUUCUGUCUCCCCCAUCUGUGCCUACAUUCUCCGCUACAGAUAGGGACGUUUUUGAUAAUUACAUGUAAUUAUAAUUUCUGUGGGAGACAGAUCUGCCUCUGUCUAUUAUUGCCAACACCUCCAACACAAUAACUUCACACAUUUACAUAUUUCUCAACAAAAGUGAUAUUCUUUGAACCUCAGAGACAAAUCAAGAAUAAUUUUACUUAGAGAGACAUGUCACAUGGAGACGAAAUGUGUCAUUCAGUUCAUAUCUAAUUAGUGAUACGGUUGAAUGACACGGGUAACUUUUUGUGCCUAAAAGCUGAAUAGAGAGCAUUUAAAAUCUGUGACGUUUGCCUCAUUUUGCAAUGUUUUUCACAGCCUGGGAGCCAUUUCCUCGGUUUAUGCUAACUCCUAAUUUUCAGCACCUAAACUGAGCCUCCUUCCCAAUCACAGAAACCGUGCCAGGCGACUAUGGAUGCACAUUAAUCCAACCAUAGAAGAGAUUGAGAUAAAGUACACGGUGCAUCUAUAGAUGUGACGAGUGCCUCGUGCCUAGAGUUAACAUGGAGAUACGUCCCUGCUCCAGAGACACUAGGCAUCAUUACUAGACAGAUGUUUAGUCUGUUAAUCCCAUUUGAUUGUUUACAAUGCUGAUAAAAUUACAAUAUAUAUGAAAAUAAUUAUAGAUUUCAUAAAUUUUUUCAGAAAGGAAUUGCUUUCAUCUUAAUUAAGUGCCAAUUCUGAAUGUGCCAGAUUAAAACAGUCAUCCUGGAAUGAACAAAACAGAUAAAAGUGUUUACAUUUGAUAAGAAAAACUGGCCAUAGAUUAUUGUUCAAGUGCCAAGGUCAGCAAGAAUGUAUAGGACUGCCAUAUUGUAUUGAAAAAUAUUUGCUACUAAUUUUUACUAGCCUUAGUGGUUACAAAAAUGUAUUCCUUCCAGCAGUACGUUAGAGAUUGGUCAUUUUGUUCAGUGAGGAGCGUAGAACAAGGCAUUAAGGACUAAAAGCAUGAAGAUUGUUGUUUUCAAUUUGUCCUCUUUACAAAGCCGCAUCAAUUUUAGUGUUCUGGACUUGAGAGGGCAAAAGAUGAAGUCAUUACGCAUUCAGAGAUCCUUUCUAGCAGUAAAUUAAAAGCAUUUUAAUACCAUUAUCGACAAUUAUUGAAACCUACCAACUGUUUUUGAUAGUGUUAGACCUUUUCAUUUGUAUUGUUCCUGACCUUUUCUAAUAUUACACCAUAUAAAUACUCAGUUUCUGACAAAAAAAAGGCUUCAAAUUUCCUCCUCCAACAUUACUGAAUGAAACUACUGAUACAUCAU
ensembl:lncRNA